rnacentral:tRNA from 2 species
GUUUUAAUAGUUUAAUAAAAAAUAAUGAUCUUGUAAAUCAUUGAUAGGAAACCUCCUUUAAAACU